UACGUAGGGUGCAAGCGUUAAUCGGAAUUACUGGGCGUAAAGCGUGCGCGGGCGGUUCGGAAAGUAAGAUGUGAAAUCCCAGAGCUUAACUUUGGAACUGCAUUUUUAACUACCGAGCUAGAGUGUGUCAGAGGGAGGUGGAAUUCCGCGUGUAGCAGUGAAAUGCGUAGAUAUGCGGAGGAACACCGAUGGCGAAGGCAGCCUCCUGGGAUAACACUGACGCUCAUGCACGAAAGCGUGGGGAGCAAACAGG
rnacentral:rRNA from 1 species